UACGAAGGGGGCUAGCGUUGUUCGGAAUCACUGGGCGUAAAGGGCGCGUAGGCGGCCGAUCAAGUCGGGGGUGAAAGCCUGUGGCUCAACCACAGAAUUGCCUUCGAUACUGUUUGGCUUGAGUCCGGAAGAGGUAAGUGGAACUGCGAGUGUAGAGGUGAAAUUCGUAGAUAUUCGCAAGAACACCAGUGGCGAAGGCGGCUUACUGGUCCGGUUCUGACGCUGAGGCGCGAAAGCGUGGGGAGCAAACAGG
rnacentral:rRNA from 1 species